GCGGGUGUAGCACAAUGGUAGUGCAUCUGUUUUCCAAACAGAGUACAAGGGUUCGAUUCCCUUCAUCCGCU
rnacentral:tRNA from 1 species